GUUCCUGUACCUCAACGGUUAGAGGACCUUCCUUAUAAGAGGGCUACACUCGUUCAACUCGAGUCAGGAAUACCA
rnacentral:tRNA from 1 species